GAAUCCAAAUGUUCUCUAGC
rnacentral:snRNA from 1 species